GGGGCUGAUUCUGGAUUCGACGGGAUUUGCGAAACCCAAGGUGCAUGCCGAGGGGCGGUUGGCCUCGUAAAAAGCCGCAAAAAAUAGUCGCAAACGACGAAAACUACGCUUUAGCAGCUUAAUAACCUGCUUAGAGCCCUCUCUCCCUAGCCUCCGCUCUUAGGACGGGGAUCAAGAGAGGUCAAACCCAAAAGAGAUCGCGUGGAAGCCCUGCCUGGGGUUGAAGCGUUAAAACUUAAUCAGGCUAGUUUGUUAGUGGCGUGUCCGUCCGCAGCUGGCAAGCGAAUGUAAAGACUGACUAAGCAUGUAGUACUGAGGAUGUAGGAAUUUCGGACGCGGGUUCAACUCCCGCCAGCUCCACCA
rnacentral:tmRNA from 2 species